rnacentral:misc_RNA from 1 species
UGGAAUCUUUGAGACUAUUGAUUAAACCCCCCACGCCCCCAACUGGUCAUGCAGAAAUGCCAUUACUUAAUUGAAUAAGGUUGAACACCAGCGAAGUCUUCUUUUGUACACAAAAUACACAUUCUUUUGACAUUUGACAAUGGCAGGAGGGAUAUUAGAUACUCUCAGAAUCCUUGUUGUACAUGUCUGUUCUCGUUGCCAAUUGAGAAUUCUAAUUUUUAGCU